GUAAAUGCGAUGAAAAAGAGUAGUACACAGUGACCUUAUUUUUCAGAGAGUCUGCUGCCUGGUGAAAGGCGGACAAUAAACACUGCGGAAUGGACUUUUGAGCAGCUGACUGAACUUCAAAGUAGGAUCAGCCGUUUCGUCUUGCGAUAAAAGACGCUAAGUGAUUUCUGCUGCAGAAAUAAUCAGGGUGGCACCGCGGUCCAUUCGUCCCUUUU
rnacentral:ncRNA from 1 species